rnacentral:lncRNA from 1 species
AGUCUGUUCCAGGGAGUUUCAUGCUCUCCUGUCUCCAAUGUGCAUAUACGAACAUGGGAACACAUCUGCACAUAAAUAAAUCUUGGCUUAUUUCUGGUAAAUUUUUGUACAACCAUAUUGCAUGUUCCUGAGGUAGAGGCAAAACAUGUUCCUGAAGUGUAGCCCUGGCCAUGCAGGGACUGACAUGACUUCUUUUCAUUAGACUACAGUCUAUGCAGUGACACAUCUAGCUAUGCAGGAUUGGUCUUGGUUUGAUCAAUGGGAAACCACAAGACAACAAGCAAGCAGGGGUGUUGACCGAAGAGCCUCAAGUUCAAAGCAGAAGCCACAUCCCCAUUCCUUGAAUGGAUGAUCAUUUUGGGGACCCUGCAUAAUGGCGCAUGCGUUUAAAUCGAGUACUCAGGUGGCACAGAAGUGUGGAUCUCUGGGACUUCGAAACCUACAUCAUCUACAAAACGAUUUUCAGGCUAUAUGAUGAGACCCUGACUCAAAAACAAACAAACAAACAAACAAACAAAUCAAUGAUCAGAGAAAAUUAUACCCAGGAAGCAAUGACAAUAAACAUGGAAAUUAUG